AAUGAAAUUCAAAAGAACCAACACAACCAAGGAUGGAUAUAGGUGGUGCUGUAGAAGAAGAACCCACAAGGGCAGGGCCAUCACGAGGUCCAUCAGAGAGGGCUCAGUUUUCUCCAGACCACAUAUUCCAUUACCAUCAUGGAUGAAAGUUAUGCACAGUUUGUCACAGGGCUUGAGGAAGAGACAAGUAGACAUGAUAGAGGAUGGAGUAUGUGGAAGCAGCAAAUCCCUGACCAGAGUAACUACGCUGUUGCGAGAAAUCUGUGGUGAAGCAGUUAGGCGACUGGAAAGAAGACGGAAAAUGAGAAUUGGAGGGAGGAGAGCUUUUGUAUCAAUAGAUGAGAGUAAAUUCCGACACAAACAGAAGUAUGGACGUGGACGACGUGGACCCACCUGGCGAAGACGUUCGUGGGUCUUUGGAAUGCUGGAAGUGAAGAGGGCCCGUAGACGUCCUGUCUUAA